CCUCGUCGAUCUGCUGCGGGCAGAUCCAGUGGAUGUGGCUGUCGAUGCCGCCGGCCGUGACGAUCAGCCCCUCGGCUGCGAUCACCUCGGUGCCCGGGCCGAUGACGAUGUCCACGCCGGGCUGGAUGUCCGGGUUGCCGGCCUUGCCGAUGGCGGCGAUGCGGUUGCCACGCAGGCCGAUGUCGGCCUUGACGAUGCCCCAGUGGUCGACGAUCAGCGCGUUGGUGAUGACGCAGUCGACCGCGUCGGCGGCGCCCGGUCCGUUGACGCGCUGGCCCUGGCCCAUGCCGUCGCGGAUG
rnacentral:sRNA from 1 species